AGGCGGUUAGCUCAGAUGGUUAGAGCGCCACGUUGACAUCGUGGAGGUCGUUGGUUCGACCAAUACCGCCUACCA
rnacentral:tRNA from 1 species